CUCUUAUCCAAACUUUGAAAAUAUUUAAAGUAAUCCACUAAUCCCCAAUCCCGAAAACAAAUUCAUUUAAAUAGAUCCCCAAUCCAUCAAAAUAUUGCCAGGUCAAUUCCCAAUCUGGAUAGGUCAUAGAUCUUGGAUUAGAUUUAAGUUCUUUGAGAAUUGCGUGUUUCAUAUUUCCCUUAAAAUUAACCUUUGAAUUUGACAUUUGACAAAUUUCUAAAAAACGAACCUUUUCGACCGGUUAACUACUUAAUGUGUUGUUAUUACAGCUCUAAAGAACGAUUUAAACCGUUUUUUACUGUCUUUUUUUUACCUGAAAUUAUUCACCCUUUGUUAAAAGAAUGAAUUUAAGAACAAAACAUUUAUUAAAAAUCCUUAAUCUUGCAACUAAUUCAAAUUUGUCAAUCCAUACUGCUAAUUUUUUUACACAAGAAUUAACCUCUGUGUCCGAUGAACUGGUUAAUUUGUGGUUAAUAGCCAUAAUCAUACCACAUUGCAUGAGUUUAACAAAUUUUCCUUUAAUUUUAUUUACUAUUAUCUUCGUAGGGUGAAAUAAUAAACAGAAAUAAUAAGUUUUAAACAAAAUUCAUUAAACAGAAUCAAAGUAGGGGCGAAAAAUAAUCCACACGCUUGACUAAUCCAGACUGGCCAAUCUCUAAUCCCCAAUCCAAAUCAUGUUUCUAAAGUAAUCUAAUCCGAAACUAAUCCAAGUCCCUAAUCAAUGUUUAUUUCUAAUGCCCAUUCUAAUCCAAAAAUUUUAGUGACCAAUCCCCAAUCCGUAAUUUGAGCAAAAAAUGACCAAUCUCCCAGCUCUGAUUAUCCCUGAUUGGCCAGAUUAAUUUAUUUGUUAAGACAAUAAACAUAAAUAGGUAUUUAUGUAGUUAGGUACGCAGGUCGAUGCGUAAUUAACAGAAUUUUAAAUAAUUAACAAAAUAUCCUUUUGUUUAUAAAAUUCGUAAAAUCUAACGGAUUUUAUCCAACGAAUGUAGGGGUGCACCGAGUGGUAAAAAAGAAGACUCGGCCGAGUACUCGACAAUUCUUGAAACGAGUACUCGGCCGAGCACCGAGUAAUAACUGUUUCACGGACAAGAAUUUAUUAAAAAAUGACCAAAAAAUGAAGAAAAACUCGGCCGAGUGGGCGACAAUACACGGCCGAGUCCGAGUAGUAAAAAUACACGCCGAGUCGGCCGAGCACUCGGUGCAUCCCUAAACCAAUGCAUUCGAUCGUGCUAAAAUCCCAUAUUUCGAGCGCGUAAAAGCUAUUAGGGAAAAUGGUAUAAUUUUGUAAAACUCAACAAAUUACAAAAUUAAAGUCAAAAAUCAGGCUGCGGCAAAAUAGUAGUCCGAAAUAAAUUAAUAAGGCCUGGGUAAGAAUAUUUUGCGCAAAUAUUUAGAAAAAGCCACAUGCGAGCGCCGAAGGCGCGAGCGGCUUGGGGCGCCGAAUUUCUUUGCCCGGGUAAGAUUUUGGGCUAGAUCGGGGCCUGAUGCGGAGACACGUUAAUUUAAUAAACGAUUAAAAUUUCUGAAAAUUACCUCCGAGAAGAAUUGAGAAGUCAAAUUUGAAAAACUCCUUAGCUAAAAUAUGGCCACAUUAAGACGAAUUUUCUUCGGGACGUCAAUUCUCGUGUUUUUUGUCUUCUUCGCCAUAAUAUUUUCGGGACAAAAGGGACCAAUUGAGUUAAACUUUAUGCCACGGAAAGUACAUGAACUUCGACGAUCGGUGAUGUUUUGGAAACAACCAGUUAAUCUGAGUGAAGAAGAAAGCGAAUCGAAUGAAGAAGAAGGAAAAUCGGGAUCUGCAUUGGAAAAUUUGAAAGAGGAAUUGAACUCCAUACAGAAUUAUUUCGUGGAAGACACAAUUUUAGGACAGGAAGCUUCUGGAGUGUUUGACUUCAAUAAUGUGGCAAAUAUGGCAGCAGGGCCUAAGACGAAGGCAUGCAGUCGUGCCCCUCAUCUGCAUGAAAUACUCUUCAGUAACACGUACUGGCAGAUGCUGCGCGUGAUUGAGAAAAAUACGACUGGAAUAAUGUACCUCUAUAGCGCGAACGCUGAUGGGCGUGGCACCGGUAAAAAAAUUCGUGUCGUGACCAUGAUAGAUGACGCUUUUAGGAAAGCGAAUUUGACGGUUUGGUGCAAUUUAUGGUCGGGGAAUAAUUCUUUCAUAAGCACUACAAAUGCUACAUUUAAAAAUAUUUGGCCGUGGGGUCAAUCCGGUGCUCAUCACCCUAUCCUGGUCACCUGUGAUUUGGACGAUUUUGACGAGUCUGACGUCGACACGUCCGAAGAAUUUGAAUGGCCUGCCUCCGUUUCAAUAGUUUCGCAGAAGUGUCAGCAAGCUACUAAUCAAUUGAAAGUGGUUAACAAGGAUGAGAGAGUUGGCGAUUUUGGGGUCUGUUUCAAGUGGCUGGAUUUCUCUGAGGUGGACUUAUCCCGCAGGAUUAUUGAGAUGGUUGAACUGCUCAGAGUUCUGGGGGUUAGCGGGAUUCACUUUCCGUACAUGGCGACACAUCCAAAUGUUGAUAGGGUACUAGAUUAUUACGGAAAAGAGGAUGAUCCAAUAGUCCACGUGAAACCGUUUAGUCUGCCCGGACCAUACAGUAAUUUGCCACACUUGCGACAUUUAUUAUUGCGGCGAAACAACAAUGUGAAGUUGAGGGCCGAAUUGAUACCCUAUGUCGAUUGUUUCUUGGAGAACAUGUAUCAAUAUAAAUAUAUUGCGAUCAUCGAUAUUGAUGAGGUCAUAUUGCCCACGGCCAACAGUACCUUCACUAAUUACACCGAACUGUUUGAAGAGCUUGAGAAAAUGAAUACGAACGUUACCCAUUACAGUUUCUGCUUCGAUAUGAAAUUAUUCGUGGACCGAAUGCAACGGACGAACGGAAGUCUGGUGGCAGACCUGCAUCAAAUCCGUCCAGAGCUAUUCGAUGAUGCUGAUCCACAACUUCCUUAUGUCAUGAACAAAGUGUAUUUCGACAAAGCCUACUUAUGCAAUUCCGGUCGUCACACGAACGUCAAAUGUUUCCACAACACGGAAUCGGUUCUUCUUGUUCAUAAUCACUCGCCCUCAGCGUGCCUGGAGGGAGUUACUUCUUGCUCCAAACGCACACGAUGAGAGGUUUCAAAAAUCACCGGGGGACGACGUGCUCAGGUGCUAAGUGUUGGAAAGGCGCGCUCACCGCCCCAUUUCGAGGCAAGUUGGGCAAUCUAUCUAUUUGUACAUACCUGAUCGUGUGCUCCAAACGAAUACAUCGUGACAUAGCGUACACACACCAUCACAAGGACACCUAUUCGUAUUGCGCCACAAAUAGCACGAUUGACCCGCCCGAAUUACUUAGAAACCCGUUCGGCUUUGAUGAUAGCAUUAGGCUCUUCCAAGAAGAAGUUAUACAACGCAGAGAUCCGAUUUUGGAAAGAUUAGGUUUCUAGAAAUUAAGCAGGUUUAAAUAUUAUUAAGCUGGGGCUAACAAAGUAUAUGGAGAUGAUAUGUAAAUAUGUUCGUAUUUAUCUGUGUAAUGGAUAAAAAGUGGAUAACUCUUUAAUCAACCGUGUUAAGUAAAAUGAUUAUUGAAGUGAUAAAAACAUACAUUUAGAAAUCUCCUACUAAAUACUUUUACACCAAUAAAAAUAAUGUCAAAAAGUAUGCAAAUACAUA